rnacentral:rRNA from 1 species
GAGUUUGAUCCUGGCUCAGGACGAACGCUGGCGGCGUGCCUAAUACAUGCAAGUAGAACGCUGAAGGAGGAGCUUGCUUCUCUGGAUGAGUUGCGAACGGGUGAGUAACGCGUAGGUAACCUGCCUGGUAGCGGGGGAUAACUAUUGGAAACGAUAGCUAAUACCGCAUAAGAGUGGAUGUUGCAUGACAUUUGCUUAAAAGGUGCACUUGCAUCACUACCAGAUGGACCUGCGUUGUAUUAGCUAGUUGGUGGGGUAACGGCUCACCAAGGCGACGAUACAUAGCCGACCUGAGAGGGUGAUCGGCCACACUGGGACUGAGACACGGCCCAGACUCCUACGGGAGGCAGCAGUAGGGAAUCUUCGGCAAUGGACGGAAGUCUGACCGAGCAACGCCGCGUGAGUGAAGAAGGUUUUCGGAUCGUAAAGCUCUGUUGUAAGAGAAGAACGAGUGUGAGAGUGGAAAGUUCACACUGUGACGGUAUCUUACCAGAAAGGGACGGCUAACUACGUGCCUGCAGCCGCGGUAAUACGUAGGUCCCGAGCGUUGUCCGGAUUUAUUGGGCGUAAAGCGAGCGCAGGCGGUUAGAUAAGUCUGAAGUUAAAGGCUGUGGCUUAACCAUAGUAGGCUUUGGAAACUGUUUAACUUGAGUGCAAGAGGGGAGAGUGGAAUUCCAUGUGUAGCGGUGAAAUGCGUAGAUAUAUGGAGGAACACCGGUGGCGAAAGCGGCUCUCUGGCUUGUAACUGACGCUGAGGCUCGAAAGCGUGGGGAGCAAACAGGAUUAGAUACCCUGGUAGUCCACGCUGUAAACGAUGAGUGCUAGGUGUUAGACCCUUUCCGGGGUUUAGUGCCGUAGCUAACGCAUUAAGCACUCCGCCUGGGGAGUACGACCGCAAGGUUGAAACUCAAAGGAAUUGACGGGGGCCCGCACAAGCGGUGGAGCAUGUGGUUUAAUUCGAAAGCAACGCGAAGAACCUUACCAGGUCUUGAAAUCCCUCUGACCGCUCUAGAGAUAGAGUUUUCCUUCGGGACAGAGGUGACAGGUGGUGCAUGGUUGUCGUCAGCUCGUGUCGUGAGAUGUUGGGUUAAGUCCCGCAACGAGCGCAACCCCUAUUGUUAGUUGCCAUCAUUCAGUUGGGCACUCUAGCGAGACUGCCGGUAAUAAACCGGAGGAAGGUGGGGAUGACGUCAAAUCAUCAUGCCCCUUAUGACCUGGGCUACACACGUGCUACAAUGGCUGGUACAACGAGUCGCAAGCCGGUGACGGCAAGCUAAUCUCUUAAAGCCAGUCUCAGUUCGGAUUGUAGGCUGCAACUCGCCUACAUGAAGUCGGAAUCGCUAGUAAUCGCGGAUCAGCACGCCGCGGUGAAUACGUUCCCGGGCCUUGUACACACCGCCCGUCACACCACGAGAGUUUGUAACACCCGAAGUCGGUGAGGUAACCGUAAGGAGCCAGCCGCCUAAGGUGGGAUAGAUGAUUGGGGUGAAGUCGUAACAAGGUAACCGUAUCGGAAGGUGCGGCUGGAUCACC